UACAGAGGUCUCAAGCGUUGUUCGGAUUCAUGGGGCGUAAAGGGUGCGUAGGCGGCGCGGUAAGUCGGAUGUGAAAUCUCGGAGCUUAACUCCGAAACUGCAUUCGAUACUGCCGUGCUUGAGGACUGGAGAGGAGACUGGAAUUUACGGUGUAGCGGUGAAAUGCGUAGAUAUCGUAAGGAAGACCAGUGGCGAAGGCGGGUCUCUGGACAGUUCCUGACGCUGAGGCACGAAGGCCAGGGGAGCAAACGGG
rnacentral:rRNA from 1 species